rnacentral:sRNA from 1 species
UUCACAACCGAAUUGUUAUCAGAGGACUAAAUACCAUUCCAUUGUUUGUGCAGCUGCUUUAUUCUCCCAUUGAAAACAUCCAAAGAGUAGCUGCAGGGGUCCUCUGUGAACUUGCUCAGGACAAGGAAGCUGCAGAAGCUAUUGAAGCUGAGGGAGCCACAGCUCCUCUGACAGAGUUACUUCACUCUAGGAAUGAAGGUGUGGCGACGUAUGCAGCUGCUGUUUUGUUCCGAAUGUCUGAGGACAAGCCACAAGAUUACAAGAAACGGCUUUCAGUUGAGCUGACCAGCUCUCUCUUCAGAACAGAGCCAAUGGCUUGGAAUGAGGUAGGGAAAUGUGAGCAGUUAUUUAUCUGGUAGUUUCCUAGAGCAGGUAAGGCAGCUUGUUCUUUCCUCUCAAAACACUUAGUACACAUUCAUUUGCAUUGAUGUUUCCCUGGCUUGAGUAUUUCUUCUUUAUGCUGUCUAGCAACUGCUCUGAGGAAGAACUAUAAUACAAGCUUUAAAGAGCCUGUUCAGAAUCAUUACAAAUAAGUUGUGUUAUUUAAAAUUAUAAUUCAUAAGGGAGAAAGAUGAAAAAUGUUACCAGAUUAAAGAAGAUUUUUCAAAAGGAUGUAAGGAAAGAGGCAGUGUUAAACACUGUUAGAGGACAGUUUAUCAGUAUUUUUUACUAAACUUUAAUAAAACUUUUCUAUUUGAAUUUCUGCUAUGAAUUUUUCUUCAGUGUUUGUCCUCGGUACAGGUGGUUCCUUGAAACAUUGUUUCUAAUAAAACUAGAACAUCCUGAUAUUUUAUCCACUCUACAGAGAUCAUUGAUGGUACACAGUCAUACAGU